rnacentral:rRNA from 1 species
GAACGUUGGCGGCGUGGAUUAGGCAUGCAAGUCGGACGAAUCCCGGGGGGCAACUCUCGGGGGAAGUGGCGAAAGGGGCAGUAAUGCGUAGGUAACCUGCCCCCAGGUUCGGAAUAGCCGUCCUAACGGACGGGUAAUACCGGGAGACCCGGCGGGGGGACAUCCCCCUGCCGGCAAAGGUUCACCGCCUGGGGAGGGGCUUACGUGAUAUUAGCUAGUUGGUGGGGUAACGGCCCACCAAGGCCAAGAUGUCUAGCAGGUGUGAGAGCACGACCUGCGCCACUGGCACUGGGACACUGGCCAGACUCCUACGGGAGGCUGCAGUCGAGGAUCUUCGGCAAUGGGCGCAAGCCUGACCGAGCGACGCCGCGUGUGCGAUGAAGGCCUUCGGGUUGUAAAGCACUGUCGAGGGGGAGAAAGGGGCAACCUUGAUCGACCCCUGGAGGAAGCACGGGCUAAGUUCGUGCCAGCAGCCGCGGUAACAC